CUAUGUAUACCUAUAAUCAUGAACAUUUAAAGACAAAUAAUUGGAUGAGUAAAUGAUAUUUAAUGAUUUCUCCAUGCGUCUCCAACUCUUUCACACAACCACUCGUCUUCCUUACACCAUGCCAGCUUCUCUUCAUGCUCGAUAUUAGAAAAUCUUUUUCCCUUUCCUUUGGACCAAUAUUAUUUUCAAGCUCAAAGCACUGUCAAGAUCUGUUUUAUUAUUAUGAACCGAUCUAGAUCAGGUGGUGCAAAGGAAUGGAGGAGGAGUUUCAAGGGAUUAUUUUCUGUGUGAACUUCAUCAAUAAGCAGGGAGAAAGUUUGUCACAUUAUGUACAGAAAAAAGAAGAAGAAGAAGAAUAACAAGGUACGAAGAAGAAGACAAAAGUGAAAAGUAGGAGGAGGCCGAGGUGAUCAAUGAACCCCGGUUUUAUAUAUUUGCAAUCAGUCAAAGCCAGAUUUUUCGCCACCUGCUGCAUAAUUAAGCAGCAUCGAUCUGCAAUAUUUGCAGAGAUGAUCAUGAUGGCCGGAUGUGUCCCUUCGCUUGUUUGUCAAUAUUCCUUUUUUGCUUUAUUAAUGUGCAUUCACACGAACAUCAGGAGCUUUAAAAAUGGAAAAUCUUAAAGUAGCCAAAUAUAUAUGUGGCAGUUCUGCCUGUAUUCUCAAUAUUCUUGAUUAGUUAAACCAUUGACCAAGAACAUCUUGAAUUUGUGCAUGUUCUUCUUCUUAAGUUGUGAAUUCAGUUUACAUUAUUCAUUAAUUCUAUCUAGAUUUCCCUUAAA